AUCACAUUCCAUUGCUUUGAUCUUUUAAUCUAUAUUUUGACAUCAUCACAUUCCAUUGCUUUGAUCUUUUCUUCCUUUCAUGUGACAUCACAUUCUAUCACUGGUUGACCCGGUGACAUCAUCACAUUUCAUUGCUUUGCUGUUUUUUUUCUUCAAUGUGACAUCAUUAGCCCCAUUCACGCUGCUCUUUGAGUGUGUGGAUCCUGUGCCAAUUCUCCACAUCCUCCUCUUGGUGAAAGUUUCAGAUGUUGGAGAGGGAUGAAAUCUCGCUGCGGUUCUGAUGCACCUCUGGAGGUAGCAUCUGAGCCGCAGCAGAGGCAGUGUUGAUAACAGGAUCAAUGAAGAACCUAAAUGCCAAUUCAAAUGCCAUAUCUUUGAAGCCAACGCGGAAGACCAGGCUUUCGGCAGGACGAAGAAGAGAUCUGGUGGCCCAGGAUGAGUGUGGAAGAGAACACAGCUGACAAGAUCUUGAUUAACUUCAUCCAUUUACUGUUGGGGAAUAUUCAUCUUUCAUCACUGUUGACUUUGUAAUGCCAGAUUCAUUCCAGACCCGCUGUUGGCCAGACCACAAGAGGUGUUGCCAUUAAAUGUCAGCACUGCAUUCCUAAGCCAAGUCACACAAGUCAGUCUACCAGGACACAUCAGUCUCCUGGUAGAAAACGGUGACCUUAAAUACCAGCUCCUACCACUUGCAGGUUGUGGUAAACCUAAUCACCUUAACAGAUGCUGAGAAGGGUUCAAAUAUACACCCACAUUAGUAUCAAAUACAGCCUCUGAGGUACAUAAGAUACAGCACCUGCAGUGGACUAUUCAGCACCUUAGAAUUUAUGUUCAAGACCAAUAUUCAAACCACUUUCAAGAGGCAGUGUGCCAGUUUUCUAACCGAAGGACUAUAUGCUCAAUGUUAGAUAUGUAUACAGAUGCAGACGGAGUCCACUGUCGAUGUUCUACAUGUUCAUUUUGACCAUAUUUGUGCAUUUUUUCUGAAAGUUUAAGGAUGCAGAUGAAACUGAGCAGUCCCACUGGAGUCGUGAAGGGCAGUAUAGCAAAUAAUCCAUGCAAGAUAACUACAGGACAUGACAAAAUAAGUUAGUUUGUUGUGUUUACUGGCCUUGUGGACCACUUCAUCUACAACUCUGCCUAUGCUUUAGUCUCUUUCUUCAUAGCAACAUUAUUACAUCCUCCUUCACUGUCAUCAUGUUGUCUGAUGUUGGUCGUGGUGCUGUCUGAAACUCUUGGAAAUACAUGCAGGAAAUACAUCCAGUAUCUGACUGUCAUAUCGGGAGAUAGAGGGGAUGCUGGUGAAGUUACAGAGAAAGCUGCCAAGCCAGUGACCACUGUUCAAGACUGGGGCUCAACCUUUGUAAGCAUGACACAGGAUAUUUUUAAGGAAUGCCUCAGGACAAUUCCUAGCCGUGUUUGUAUCAACCACAACAGGUAUUUUGUACCAAACACAUGAUGUUUUCUUAACCUGAACCAAGCAGUUUUUAUGUUGAAACCUAACCAGAGCAUAAGCACAGGUCAUAAAAUAAAACUGAAAGGUUUCAACAUAUCGAUGGUGUGCAGAAACACAAAUUACCUACAUUUUUUCUGGUGACUGGGUCACAUAUACAGUAUCCUUAGACGGCUCACACCAUCACUAAUGUCAAAGGCAUGGUGAGCAUUUGGAUAAUUAAACUUUAACUGUC